rnacentral:rRNA from 1 species
UACAGAGGUGGCAAGCGUUGUUCGGAAUUACUGGGCGUAAAGGGCGCGUAGGCGGUUCGUUAAGUCCUGUGUGAAAUCCCCCGGCUCAACUGGGGAACUGCACAGGAAACUAGCGGGCUUGAGUUCGGGAGAGGGAAGCGGAAUUCCGGGUGUAGCGGUGAAAUGCGUAGAUAUCCGGAGGAACGCCGGUGGCGAAGGCGGCUUCCUGGACCGACACUGACGCUGAGGCGCGAAAGCUAGGGGAGCAAACGGG